rnacentral:rRNA from 1 species
GACGAACGCUGGCGGCGUGCCUAAUACAUGCAAGUAGAACGCACAGUUUAUACCGUAGCUUGCUACACCAUAGACUGUGAGUUGCGAACGGGUGAGUAACGCGUAGGUAACCUGCCUGGUAGCGCGGGGUAACUAUUGGAAACGAUAGCUAUUACCGCAUAAUAUUAAUUAUUGCAUGAUAAUUAACUGACAGGUUCAAUUGCACCACUACCAGAUGGCCCUGCGUUUGAUUAGCUAGUAGGGGAGGUAACGGCUCAACUAGGCGACGAUACAUAGCCGAACUGGGAGGGUGAUCGGCCACACCGGGAAUGAGACACGGCCCAGAAUCCUACGGGAAGCAGCAGUAGGGAAUCUUCGGCAAUGGACGAAAGUCUGACCGGGCAAAGCCGCGUGAGUGAAGAAGGUUUUCGGAUCGUAAAGCUCUGUUGUAAGGGAAGAACGGGUGUGGGAGUGGAAAGUUCACACUGUGACGGUAUCUUACCAGAAAGCGACGGCUAACUACGUG